rnacentral:rRNA from 1 species
CGGAGGGUGCGAGCGUUGUCCGGAAUCACUGGGCGUAAAGGGCGCGUAGGCGGCCUGAUAAGUAGGGGGUGAAAUCCUGCGGCUUAACCGCAGGGCUGCCUUCUAAACUGUCAGGCUCGAGCACAGUAGAGGCAGGUGGAAUUCCCGGUGUAGCGGUGGAAUGCGUAGAGAUCGGGAAGAACAUCAGUGGCGAAGGCGGCCUGCUGGGCUGUUGCUGACGCUGAGGCGCGACAGCAUGGGGAGCAAACAGGAUUAGAUACCCUGGUAGUCCACGCCGUAAACGAUGGGCACUAGGCGUCGGGGGGAGCGACCCUCCCGGUGCCGUCGCUAACGCAGUAAGUGCCCCGCCUGGGGAGUACGGCCGCAAGGCUG